ACUCCUACGGGAGGCAGCAGUGGGGAAUUUUGGACAAUGGGCGAAAGCCUGAUCCAGCAAUGCCGCGUGCAGGAUGAAGGCCUUCGGGUUGUAAACUGCUUUUGUACGGAACGAAAAAGCUCCUUCUAAUACAGGGGGCCCAUGACGGUACCGUAAGAAUAAGCACCGGCUAACUACGUGCCAGCAGCCGCGGUAAUACGUAGGGUGCGAGCGUUAAUCGGAAUUACUGGGCGUAAAGCGUGCGCAGGCGGUUAUGUAAGACAGAUGUGAAAUCCCGGGGCUCAACCUGGGAACUGCAUUUGUGACUGCAUGGCUAGAGUACGGUAGAGGGGGAUGGAAUUCCGCGUGUAGCAGUGAAAUGCGUAGAUAUGCGGAGGAACACCGAUGGCGAAGGCAAUCCCCUGGACCUGUACUGACGCUCAUGCACGAAAGCGUGGGGAGCAAACAGGAUUAGAAACCCGGGUAGUCCCAUGAU
rnacentral:rRNA from 1 species